CCUCCAGACCAGCAGGAGGCAGGAACACAGGUCUGAUGAUGGUCCUCACUAUAAUAUAAAACAGCUGUGAACUCAGGUGGUGUGGAGCAGCAGCUUUUACAAACUCAGAACAAAGUCAAACUUCGAGAAGACGACCACAGCAAGAACUCACCUGGAUACAGAGAACACCUGUCUGAGAUCUUGUUGAAAGCAGCAACAUCCAUCGACUGAACGUAAUCCUCAAAGGCUGUGAUGUGCUCCUCCAGGAUGUCUGUACCCACCUGAAAACACGAAACAGAAAUUUUAUCUCCAGAGUUUUCAGAUCAUAAAGUGUCCAUCAGAUCUUCAGCCGAAAGAUGGUGAGUUAGAUCAUCAUCAACUCUGCAGACAUCCAUCACUAAUCAAUACUGAAGCAAUCACUUAAAAAAAACAAAAAAAACAAAAUAAAAACCCACAUAUCCAGGGUCUGUGGUUCUGUUUCUACUGUUCUGCUUUUUGGAUGAAUUCUUUGACUAAAUAUUUUAGUGUCAUCAGAAAAAUCUUAGUUUCUUAAAGCUGACUCGACAUUUAAUCUUUACUGGAAUCUGUCACUAUAUCAAAAACAAAACUGAUCAAACUUUAGAGUCAAAGUAUGAAAAACAUUAACUGAGAAAUAAUCCGCAGAUAAAAAUCAUAACACUUAUUUACAGCUUGAAUAUUACUGUAGUAGGUCAAACAUAAAAAAGGCUUUUCGCAUUAAAUUUUCAAUUUUACCACUUUGGAAGAAACGCUAAUAAUUCAAUUAUUUUAAGCUAAAAAACAAAAACUAAACUGAUCAUUUCCUUUGAACACAGUUGUACGCUAUACAACAUUACUGUAUGUAAUAGUAUUAUAUGCCGUGCAGAAUAUGCUAUUACUGUAU